rnacentral:tRNA from 1 species
GUAAAUAUAGUUUAAACAAAACCUUAGAUUGUGAUUCUAAUAACAGGUGUUAAAAUCACCUUAUCUACC